rnacentral:rRNA from 1 species
AGAGUUUGAUCCUGGCUCAGGAUAAACGCUGGCGGCAUGCCUAACACAUGCAAGUCGAACGGGGUUUAUAUAGCGGAACUCUCCGGAGGGAAGCCGUAUAAACCUAGUGGCGGACGGGUGAGUAACGCGUGGGGAACCUGCCCUGUACCGGGGGACAACAGCCAGAAAUGGCUGCUAAUACCGCAUAACCCUGCACUGCCGCAUGGCGGUGCAGGGAAAACUCCGGUGGUACAGGAUGGCCCCGCGUCUGAUUAGCUUGUUGGCGGGGUAACGGCCCACCAAGGCAACGAUCAGUAGCCGGCUUGAGAGAGCGGACGGCCACAUUGGGACUGAGACACGGCCCAGACUCCUGCGGGAGGCAGCAGUGGGGAAUAUUGCACAAUGGGGGGAACCCUGAUGCAGCAAUGCCGCGUGGGUGAAGAAGUACCCCGGUAUGUAAAGCCCUUUCAGCAGGGAAGAAAAUGACGGUACCUGACUAAGAAGCCCCGGCUAACUACGUG